rfam:Kouleothrix aurantiaca strain COM-B contig_166, whole genome shotgun sequence.
GAUAGUUCCUAAAAUCUAGCGUUCUAUCGCUUCAGAUCAUGGAACUACCAGCGGGCGUGAGACAUCACGCAGCAGUUCGACAGGCCAACACACCUAUGGAUGUUCGCUCCAGUCUGUAGCUCUGUGGUUCCGGUUUAAGGGUACCGGAAACGGGAACGUGAUCGGGACAUGACAAACCUGUUGAACACUCGCGAGGAGCAUCUUAC